rnacentral:rRNA from 1 species
UUAAAUUAUUAAGAGCGCAUGGCGAAUGCCUUGGCACUAGAAGCUGAUGAAGGACGUGACGAACAACGAUAUGCUUCGGGGAGCUGUAAGUAGCUUUGAUCCGGAGAUUUCCGAAUGGGGAAACCCACUGAUAGUAAUGUGUCAGUAUCAUGCAGUGAAUUCAUAGCUGUAUGAGAUGAACCCGGUGAACUGAAACAUCUUAGUAGCCGGAGGAGUAGAAAGAAAAAUCGAUUCCCUUAGUAGUGGCGAGCGAAAGGGGAACAGCCCAAACCAAUCUUCGGAUUGGGGUUGUAGGACUUCUCAUUAAGAGUAAAAAAUUCAUAAUAUAGUUGAAGUAUCUGGAAAGAUAUACCGUAGUAGGUGAUAGUCCUGUAAAUGAAAUAUUAUGAACUCUGAGGAGUAUCCUGAGUAGGGCGGGGCACGUGAAACCCUGUCUGAAUCUGCGGGGCCCAUCCCGUAAGGCUAAAUACUCUCUAGUGACCGAUAGUGAACAAGUACCGUGAGGGAAAGGUGAAAAGAACCCCGGGAGGGGAGUGAAAUAGAAUACUGAAACCGUAUGCUUACAAAAAGUCAAAGCCCGUUAAUGGGUGAUGGCGUGCCUUUUGCAGAAUGAACCGGCGAGUUACUGUAUCGUGCAAGGUUAAGUUGAAUAGACGAAGCCGAAGCGAAAGCGAGUCUGAAUAGGGCGACUUAGUACGAUGUAGUAGACCCGAAACCAAGUGAUCUAGCCAUGAGCAGGUUGAAGUGACAGUAACAUGUCAUGGAGGACCGAACCGAUGUACCCGGAAACGUGCCCGGAUGACUUGUGGUUAGCGGAGAAAUUCCAAUCGAACUUGGAGAUAGCUGGUUCUCCCCGAAAUAGGUUUAGGCCUAGCCUUGAGGUUUAGCACGCUGGAGGUAGAGCACUGAAUAAAUGAUGGCCCCGUAUAGGGGUACUGAAUUUAAUCAAACUCCGAAUGCCAGUGUUGUAUACUCAGGAGUCAGUGUAUGGGUGAUAACGUCCAUACGCGAGAGAAAAAGAAUUCAGACCGCCGAUUAAGGUCCCAAAAUUUCUACUAAGUGGGAAAGGAUGUGGAGUUGUCAAAACAGCUAGGAGGUUGGCUUAGAAGCAGCCACCCUUUAAAGAGUGCGUAAUAGCUCACUAGUCGAGUGACACUGCGCCGAAGAUGUACCGGGGCUAAGUAGAAUACCGAAAUCGCGGAUUUAAUACUAUGUAUUAAGUGGUAGGGGAGCGUUCCAUAUGCGCUGAAGGUAGAUCGUGAGGACUACUGGAGCGUAUGGAAGUGAGAAUGCCGGUGUGAGUAGCGCAAGGGAGGUGAGAAUCCUCCCCACCGUUUGACUAAGGUUUCCUGGACAAGGUUCGUCCUUCCAGGGUAAGUCGGGUACUAAGGCGAGGCCGAGAGGCGUAGUCGAUGUCCAACAGGUUGAUAUUCCUGUACCACCUACGUGACUGAUGGAGUGACGGAGAAAGCUAAGAAGAGCCAAUUAUUGGAUUUUGGUAUAAGCACAAAGGUUAGUAUAUAGGCAAAUCCGUAUACGAUACAACUGAAGUGUGAUAUUGACGGAAAUCUUCGGAUUUCUUAAAUCUUCUGACGCUAUGCUUCCAAGAAAAGCUUCUAGGGCUAAUUACGUAGGUGCCCGUACCGAGAACCGACACAGGUGGUCAAGGAGAGUAUCCUAAGGUGAGCGAGAGAACUAUGGUUAAGGAACUCGGCAAAAUAACCCCGUAACUUCGGGAGAAGGGGUGGUCUAGCGAUAGACCCGCAGUGAAGAGUCCCAGGCAACUGUUUACCAAAAACACAGGUCUCUGCUAAGCCGUAAGGCGAUGUAUAGGGGCUGACGCCUGCCCAGUGCUGGAAGGUUAAGAGGAUGGAUUAGCUGACGUAAGUCGAUUGCAAAGUCUUGAAUUGAAGCCCCAGUGAACGGCGGCCGUAACUAUAACGGUCCUAAGGUAGCGAAAUUCCUUGUCAGGUAAGUUCUGACCC